rnacentral:lncRNA from 1 species
AAAAUUUAUUUUUAAAUUUUAAAAAAUAAAUCUUUAAUUUAAAAAUAAGUAAUAAAAUAAUUUAUUUGCUCUCCUCAUAGAUAAUUGUACAAUUUGGAAGAACUUAUAAAUAAAGCACCGGUAUAUAUAUAUAUAUAUAUUUCUUUCACAAUAUUAUUUUUAUAUGUUAUUAAUAUGUUGGAAGCGUCUGCGUGAGCUGAUUAAAAGCCUCAAUAUCAUUGAUGUCAGCAUAUCAACAGCAAUAUACAACGUCAACAUAUAUAGUUGGGAGUUUAAGCAUUUGCCUCUCGGAUAGAGCUUUUUGUUGUAGGAUAGUUGUGGCAAACGAUAAUUCUGCAUAAACACCGGCCGUCCCUAACGUAAGUGGCAAAGGGCUUGGUGGUUGAUAUCUGAGGUCCCAAGUUCGAAUCCUAGUUGAUUCAAAUUUCCAGCUAAGUUUAUUUCUAAAUGAAAUAAACGAAGCGGAUAGCAUACUACUUAUCUUUCAAAAAAAAUAAUUCUGCGUAAACUUCAUUCAAAUCGAACAGACGCUUUUGAUGAAAAUAAGGCUCGACGGUUAGUACCCAAGGUUGCAGGUUUGAAUCCUUAUUGAUUCAUAUGUUCAGCUAGUAUAUUUCUAAAAAUAAUAAACGAAGCGGGUAGUAUGCUACUUUUUUCUUAGAAAAAUCAAAAAAACACGUUUGAUGAAAAUUAAAGAUUGAUGAAAUCUUCCGUAUUUUUAUAUUUUUAUUUAUUAUAUGGAUAUUUCUAAUAGAAGUACAAGCAUACUAUAAUUUAGAGAUAUAAAAAAGAACGAAGAUACAGAGAUUUUCAUUUCAUGUCAAAACAGAU